rnacentral:lncRNA from 1 species
AACUAGCUUUGAGAGAAAAAAAAAUUGAAACCAAAAUGCAUGUCUAUUAGCCCAAUGCAGUUCAACUAUUGACAAAGAAGUAAUCUAAAAAAUGACAUAGGGCUGGAGAGAUGCCUCAGCAAGAAAAGGCAGUGGUCCUUAAGCCAACAACCUGAGCUUGAUCCUGGGACCACAUAGAGAGAACUGACUCCUGCAAGUUGUGCUCUGGCUUCCAUACUUGUGUGCACCAAGAUGCCCCCUCUCUGGAGCAACCCAGCCCUUAUGGGACAAGAAAUGUGGCGACUCUGUCAGGUGACUUACUCAGCAUCCUUUUACUGGGUUAGAACAAUGGUGGAGCCCAGAGCCCUGGGCGAGGAUAUGGCUGUGUGCUGAGGACCUUCACACAGGCACACAGUGCUCCACCUGUCUUCUUACGGCUGGCAAUGAGAUGGUGCUCCUUACACCGUGGACCCCCCGAGGGGUCUUCCUCACCACCUUCAGCCGGAAAGUGCCUGACCGUAGAACUUCAUGUGUAUUAGUUGCUCCUGAGAAGAGGAAGAGCUGUUUUGAUGCCCGUAUCUUUCGAGGUGUCAGUCCAUGGUCUUUGGCUCCACUGAGUCCAGGGUCACAGCAAGCCUAAACAGGACGGUGGGCUAGACCUGCCGAGGGGCAGACCUCGAAGCUCACAGCAGAUAGGAAGCUCAGAGAUAAGACUGAAGAACAUGGCAUCACUCUGACCUACCUUCUCUGGGUAGGCUUUACUUCCCAUCUCCAGAACCUUCCAAAAUAGGAACAUUAGGUCUGUGCACCAAACGUGGGCAGGAUUGAUCCAUGGAGAGAAGACGACGACACUGGAUCCCUGGGACUGGAGUUACAGACAGUGUGAGAUGCCGUGUGAAUGCUGGGAACUGAAACGGGAGUCCUCUGGAAGAGCAGCCCUUAGCCCUUUGGAUAAAAGGCAGAAGUAAAUAUUCUGACUUGGGUUCAGCACUGGCUUCUUAGACAUGAUACCAGGGCCACAAGUAACAAUAAAAAACAAACAAACAAAACAACAACAACAU